rnacentral:rRNA from 1 species
GACGUAGGGCGCGAGCGUUGUCCGGAUUUAUUGGGCGUAAAGAGCUCGUAGGCGGUCUGUCGCGUCUGCUGUGAAAACUCAGGGCUUAACCCUGAGCUUGCAGUGGGUACGGGCAGACUAGAGUGCGGUAGGGGAGACUGGAAUUCCUGGUGUAGCGGUGAAAUGCGCAGAUAUCAGGAGGAACACCGGUGGCGAAGGCGGGUCUCUGGGCCGUAACUGACGCUGAGGAGCGAAAGCAUGGGGGAGCGAAACAGG